GGGGAUAAUCGGGAGAAAUCCCGUCUAAUACCGCGUAAUGCCGCGGGGCUGCAUGGCCCUGCGGCCAAAGGGAGCGAUUCCGGCAACGGAUGGGCAUGCGUGACAUUAGCUAGUUGGCGGGGCAACGGCCCACCAAGGCGACGAUGUCUAGGGGUUCUGAGAGGAAGGUCCCCCACACUGGUACUGAGACACGGACCAGACUCCUACGGGAGGCAGCAGUGAGGAAUAUUGGUCAAUGGGCGCGAGCCUGAACCAGCCAAGUCGCGUGAGGGAUGACGGCCCUACGGGUUGUAAACCUCUUUUGUCGGGGAGCAAAUUCCGCCACGUGUGGCGGAGUCGAGAGUACCCGAAGAAAAAGCAUCGGCUAACUCCGUGCCAGCAGCCGCGGUAAUACGGAGGAUGCGAGCGUUAUCCGGAUUUAUUGGGUUUAAAGGGUGCGUAGGCGGACUGUCAAGUCAGCGGUAAAAUACGGGGGCUCAACCUCCGCCCGCCGUUGAAACUGACGGUCUUGAGUGGGCGAGAAGUAUGCGGAAUGCGUGGUGUAGCGGUGAAAUGCAUAGAUAUCACGCAGAACUCCGAUUGCGAAGGCAGCAUACCGGCGCCCGUCUGACGCUGAAGCACGAAAGCGUGGGUAUCGAACAGGAUUAGAUACCCUGGUAGUCCACGCAGUAAACGAUGAA
rnacentral:rRNA from 1 species